AGUGAACGCUGGCGGUAGGCCUAACACAUGCAAGUCGAACGGCAGCACAGUAAGAGCUUGCUCUUACGGGUGGUGAGUGGCGGACGGGUGAGGAAUACAUCGGAAUCUACUUUUUCGUGGGGGAUAACGUAGGGAAACUUACGCUAAUACCGCAUACGACCUACGGGUGAAAGCAGGGGAUCUUCGGACCUUGCGCGAUUGAAUGAGCCGAUGUCGGAUUAGCUAGUUGGCGGGGUAAAGGCCCACCAAGGCGACGAUCCGUAGCUGGUCUGAGAGGAUGAUCAGCCACACUGGAACUGAGACACGGUCCAGACUCCUACGGGAGGCAGCAGUGGGGAAUAUUGGACAAAGGGCGCAAGCCUGAUCCAGCCAUACCGCGUGGGUGAAGAAGGCCUUCGGGUUGUAAAGCCCUUUUGUUGGGAAAGAAAAGCAGCAGGUUAAUACCCCGCUGUUCUGACGGUACCCAAAGAAUAAGCACCGGCUAACUUCGUG
rnacentral:rRNA from 1 species